AUGGAAGGGCCAUCGCUCAACGGAUAAAAGCUACCCCGGGGAUAACAGGCUUAUCUCCCCCAAGAGUCCACAUCGACGGGGAGGUUUGGCACCUCGAUGUCGGCUCAUCGCAUCCUGGGGCUGUAGUCGGUCCCAAGGGUUGGGCUGUUCGCCCAUUAAAGCGGUACGCGAGCUGGGUUCAGAACGUCGUGAGACAGUUCGGUCCCUAUCCGUCGUGGGCGUAGGAAAUUUGAGAGGAGCUGUCCUUAGUACGAGAGGACCGGGAUGGACGCACCGCUGGUGUACCAGUUGUUCUGCCAAGGGCAUAGCUGGGUAGCUAUGUGCGGAAGGGAUAAGUGCUGAAAGCAUCUAAGCAUGAAGCCCCCCUCAAGAUGAGAUUUCCCAUAGCGUAAGCUAGUAAGAUCCCUGAAAGAUGAUCAGGUUGAUAGGUUCGAGGUGGAAGCAUGGUGACAUGUGGAGCUGACGAAUACUAAUAGAUCGAGGACUUAACCAUAUAA
rnacentral:rRNA from 1 species